GUAAACUGUUUGUACAACACUGACAGGGAAGCACGGAGCGAGGAUGGAAAGACCAAAAAGACAAAAAUGUCUUCCUCAAAAAUAUGUGGACAAGGAGGAGACAGGUGUGACCAAAGAUGAACCCUCUAGGCAAGAAAGAAGCAGGCCAAGCAGCCAAGUUGAGGUGGCAAAGCUAAAGGUGGAAAUCAAAUUCCUUCAGGAUGAAUGCACAUUUUUGAAGGAACAUGUGGACAAAUUAUCAUCUGUUCCUGACAUGGCUGCAGGUCCUUCAGGAUGGAGAGGGGCAGAAGAUUCUGCAUGCUGCUCUCUGAUACAAGAAAAAAAGGAAAAGGACAAGAAGAAGAUAAAGAAGAACAAAAAAUAUAUAUUUUUUUCUAAAAGAAACGUAUAAUCAAUAA